rnacentral:rRNA from 1 species
AGAGUUUGAUUAUGGCUCAGGAUGAACGCUAGCGACAGGCCUAACACAUGCAAGUCGAGGGGCAUCGGGGCGAGGAGCAAUCCUUGCCGCCGGCGACCGGCGCACGGGUGAGUAACGCGUAUGCGACCUGCCCGUUGCAGGGGGAUAAUCGGGAGAAAUCCCGUCUAAUACCGCGUAAUGCCGCGGGGCUGCAUGGCCCUGCGGCCAAAGGGAGCGAUUCCGGCAACGGAUGGGCAUGCGUGACAUUAGCUAGUUGGCGGGGCAACGGCCCACCAAGGCGACGAUGUCUAGGGGUUCUGAGAGGAAGGUCCCCCACACUGGUACUGAGACACGGACCAGACUCCUACGGGAGGCAGCAGUGAGGAAUAUUGGUCAAUGGGCGCGAGCCUGAACCAGCCAAGUCGCGUGAGGGAUGACGGCCCUACGGGUUGUAAACCUCUUUUGUCGGGGAGCGAAUUCCGCCACGUGUGGCGGAGUCGAGAGUACCCGAAGAAAAAGCAUCGGCUAACUCCGUGCCAGCAGCCGCGGUAAUACGGAGGAUGCGAGCGUUAUCCGGAUUUAUUGGGUUUAAAGGGUGCGUAGGCGGACUGUCAAGUCAGCGGUAAAAUACGGGGGCUCAACCUCCGCCCGCCGUUGAAACUGACGGUCUUGAGUGGGCGAGAAGUAUGCGGAAUGCGUGGUGUAGCGGUGAAAUGCAUAGAUAUCACGCAGAACUCCGAUUGCGAAGGCAGCAUACCGGCGCCCGACUGACGCUGAAGCACGAAAGCGUGGGUAUCGAACAGGAUUAGAUACCCUGGUAGUCCACGCAGUAAACGAUGAAUACUAGCUGUCCGGGGCGAAUGAGCCCUGGGUGGCACAGCGAAAGCGUUAAGUAUUCCACCUGGGGAGUACGCCGGCAACGGUGAAACUCAAAGGAAUUGACGGGGGCCCGCACAAGCGGAGGAACAUGUGGUUUAAUUCGAUGAUACGCGAGGAACCUUACCCGGGCUCAAACGACACAGGAACGUACCUGAAAGGGUUCGGCUCUACGGAGCCUGUGUCGAGGUGCUGCAUGGUUGUCGUCAGCUCGUGCCGUGAGGUGUCGGCUUAAGUGCCAUAACGAGCGCAACCCCCAUCGACAGUUGCUAACAGGUCAGGCUGAGGACUCUGUCGAGACUGCCGGCGCAAGCUGCGAGGAAGGCGGGGAUGACGUCAAAUCAGCACGGCCCUUACGUCCGGGGCGACACACGUGUUACAAUGGCAGGUACAGCGGGAAGCCACCUGGCGACAGGGAGCGGAACCCGAAAGCCUGUCUCAGUUCGGAUUGGAGUCUGCAACCCGACUCCAUGAAGCUGGAUUCGCUAGUAAUCGCGCAUCAGCCACGGCGCGGUGAAUACGUUCCCGGGCCUUGUACACACCGCCCGUCAAGCCAUGGAAGCCGGGGGUGCCUGAAGUGCGCUGCCGCGAGGAGCGCCCUAGGGUAAAACCGGUGACUGGGGCUAAGUCGUAACAAGGUAAC